rnacentral:rRNA from 1 species
AGAGUUUGAUCCUGGCUCAGGACGAACGCUGGCGGCGUGCCUAAUACAUGCAAGUUGAACGCAACAAAGACACCAGAGCUUGCUCUACCGUCUUUGUUGAGUAGCGAACGGGUGAGUAACGCGUGGGUAACCUGCCUUAUAGCGGGGGAUAACUAUUGGAAACGAUAGCUAAUACCGCAUAACAAUAGAGAUUGCAUAAUCUUUAUUUGAAAGUGCCAACUGGUACACUAUGAGAUGGACCCGCGUUGUAUUAGCUAGUUGGUAGUGUAAUGGACUACCAAGGCGAUGAUACAUAGCCGACCUGAGAGGGUGAUCGGCCACAUUGGGACUGAGACACGGCCCAAACUCCUACGGGAGGCAGCAGUAGGGAAUCUUCGGCAAUGGACGAAAGUCUGACCGAGCAACGCCGCGUGAGUGAAGAAGGUUUUCGGAUCGUAAAACUCUGUUGUUAGAGAAGAAUGUUGAUUAGAGUGGAAAAUUAAUCAAGUGACGGUAUCUAACCAGAAAGGGACGGCUAACUACGUGCCAGCAGCCGCGGUAAUACGUAGGUCCCGAGCGUUGUCCGGAUUUAUUGGGCGUAAAGCGAGCGCAGGUGGUUUAAUAAGUCUGAUGUAAAAGGCAGUGGCUCAACCAUUGUGUGCAUUGGAAACUGUUAGACUUGAGUGCAGUAGAGGAGAGUGGAAUUCCAUGUGUAGCGGUGAAAUGCGUAGAUAUAUGGAGGAACACCGGUGGCGAAAGCGGCUCUCUGGACUGUCACUGACACUGAGGCUCGAAAGCGUGGGUAGCAAACAGGAUUAGAUACCCUGGUAGUCCA